GGGUGACUGCGUACCUUUUGUAUAAUGGGUCAGCGACUUAUAUUCUGUAGCAAGGUUAACCGAAUAGGGGAGCCGUAGGGAAACCGAGUCUUAACUGGGCGAAUGAGUUGCAGGGUAUAGACCCGAAACCCGGUGAUCUAGCCAUGGGCAGGUUGAAGGUUGGGUAACACUAACUGGAGGACCGAACCGACUAAUGUUGAAAAAUUAGCGGAUGACUUGUGGCUGGGGGUGAAAGGCCAAUCAAACCGGGAGAUAGCUGGUUCUCCCCGAAAGCUAUUUAGGUAGCGCCUCGUGAACUCAUCUUCGGGGGUAGAGCACUGUUUCGGCUAGGGGGUCAUCCCGACUUACCAACCCGAUGCAAACUACGAAUACCGAAGAAUGUUAUCACGGGAGACACACGGCGGGUGCUAACGUUCGUCGUGAAGAGGGAAACAACCCAGACCGCCAGCUAAGGUCCCAAAGUCAUGGUUAAGUGGGAAACGAAGUGGGAAGGCUCAGACAGCCAGGAUGUUGGCUUAGAAGCAGCCAUCAUUUAAAGAAAGCGUAAUAGCUCACUGGUCGAGUCGGCCUGCGCGGAAGAUGUAACGGGGCUAAACCAUGCACCGAAGCUGCGGCAGCGACAUGUAAAUGUUGUUGGGUAGGGGAGCGUUCUGUAAGCCUGUGAAGGUGUGCUGCGAGGCAUGCUGGAGGUAUCAGAAGUGCGAAUGCUGACAUAAGUAACGAUAAUGCGGGUGAAAAACCCGCACGCCGGAAGACCAAGGGUUCCUGUCCAACGUUAAUCGGGGCAGGGUGAGUCGACCCCUAAGGCGAGGCAGAAAUGCGUAGUCGAUGGGAAACAGGUUAAUAUUCCUGUACUGGUGAUAAUUGCGAUGGGGGGACGGAGAAGGCUAGGCUGGCCGGGCGACGGUUGUCCCGGUUUAAGGAUGUAGGUGGGUGAAUUAGGCAAAUCCGGUUCGCUAUACACUGAGGUCUGAUGACGAGUCACUACGGUGGCGAAGUAGCUCAUGCCCCGCUUCCAGGAAAAGCCUCUAAGCUCUAGAUUAUCAUUAAUCGUACCCCAAACCGACACAGGUGGUCAGGUAGAGAAUACUCAGGCGCUUGAGAGAACUCGGGUGAAGGAACUAGGCAAAAUGGUGCCGUAACUUCGGGAGAAGGCACGCUGGCA
rnacentral:rRNA from 1 species